rnacentral:lncRNA from 1 species
GGCUGUCGGCUCCUAAGCGUCCGGCUCGCCGCCAUCUUGGAUCGGGGUUUCAUUGUUCGCGGUGGGACGGGCAUUUUUGUGUAAUCGCUGCCAAAGAAGAAAGCGAAGUAGCCUCCAGUCAAGCGAGGAGGCCGGCUCUUCCGCAGCCAUAGCCACCUCAACGAUUUGGGAGGUAGCGAAGGGCAGGGAGCUGGACCCUGAGGUGCCGCCGCGACUGCAGCAGCCAUGGAGGACGAGAUGCCCAAGACUCUGUGAGUCUGGAGCAGCGUUGAGGGAGGCGGGAUGGUGGUCGCCCCGUAGGGAGGCCGCGGCCCUGCGCCUCUCUGCAGCUUAUUGUUCUCCGUGGACGCCGCGCUGUGGUGGUUCCUCCCUCCCGUGCGCACGCCAGGAUGCUUAGAGCCGAGACGGGCCGAGAGGACGAUAGCGGGAGAGGGGCUCGGCCCCUGUCACCCCUCGGCUGGCCGCACCCGCGGCCCCCAGACCUGGAGGAAGGACUUUUCAUUCAAAGCUCUCCUCAGGACUCGGCACAUCCUGCUGUAGUCCCAUGCUUGUGUCCUUUUUUUUUUUUUCCCCGCCCCCUCUUUUCGAUCGUUUCCAGAUUUCCAUCUGGAACUUCCUUUCUCUUUUCUUUGGUAGGAUUUUUCAUUUUUAAUUCUUGAGACUGAGGUAAAAACUUUAUUCUUGCAG